UGAAAAUUGCGGGACUAACAUUCGACUAACAAACUAUAACACGACCGCGAAGAAGAUAGAGCCAGAGCACAUCGGUGAUGGAGUGGUUGUGUCACGUGACGUUAUGGUGGCAAACGUCUUGUAUGAAGUGGCAGUUGACGAAGUGUUAGCAGAAGACGGCUCGUUAAGCCUGGGUGUGAUAACAAACCCUCAUCCAGGCCUCGUUGUGACGAUGUUUAUCACAGGCCUUAAAGACUCCGUCAUCAUCGAGCCCGACUGCGUCUUUCACCAAAAAUCACGUGUAGGUUUCCAUGGCAACACGUAGGGUGAUGAGCACAAUUGGCGAAGGUCUCAAGAGACUUCAAGUCGGGAGUCGAGUUGGGGUCCUGGUGGACACAUCCAACGAUCUUCACCUCUUCGUCGACGGACAGGACCGGGGUGUUGCAGCAAAAGAUGUUAAACAACCCUGUUUUGCUGUCUUUGAUAUUUACGGUACAGUUAAUAAGGUCACAGCACUUCCUCCAUCUAGAAGGAUAUGAAAAAAUGUGAAGAACAAAAAGGCUGUGAUAGGAACAAGUGAAUAUGUUCUUGAUUUACGACAUCAGCCUGGGUAUUGAUAUUGCCAUUGUCAGCCCUAAUGUAUUUAUUUAAUUCACCUGUUUACUAUCCAAAACAAAAAAUGUUGAACUGUUUCGCGUUUUAUUUUUUUUUUUGUUGAAGCCCAUGAAAAAACUAUUAACAUGAGACUUUUAUUGCAGUUAUAUCAGCUGCCCUUUACCCCCUCCAGACACACAGUUAUGUACAGACAAAGAUUUUCAAACUGCAACAUCGCUCCUGCCCAGUUCCCCUUACAGAUUCUUUUCCUACAUAUAUACUUUCUCCCAGGGCAAAAUUAAAGUUGGCUCUCACUUGGCCUUCAUCCGUUUUGCUUUGUUUUUGCUACUCAUUAUCUGAAAUUAUUUUUCGGCAACCGUAAAAGUGACUAGGUGGUACUGUGAGCUUCUCUUUGAUUCUACUCACUCUUUAUCUUUAUCAAUGAAGGUGAAGGUGUGUAGCUCGAUCUGCUUAAACUACCAAGAAUGUACUGCCCAUGCGCUGAAUGAUUCUUUUUGUAUUGUUCCUGGCUUCUCUAUUGCGCUUUUAUUGGUAUUUCAAUAUGUUUCGACUGAAAGAUUAAGAUUUUUGAGUUUUCAUUGACAAAUUGUCCUUCAUUUACUCAGUACGAGAUUUACUUUUAGCAUUAUUGAUAGAUAAAAGGUUUCUUGUAUCAGUUAACAUACUUAAAAAUUUGAUGUGUAUUGUUGAAGCAAUAAAGACUUUAAAUCUUUCAGCAAUCUACAGGGUUUACAAUAAGUUGC